rnacentral:rRNA from 1 species
UACGGAGGGUGCAAGCGUUGUCCGGAUUUAUUGGGUUUAAAGGGUGCGUAGGCGGUCUUUUAAGUCAGCGGUGAAAGCCUCCAGCUUAACUGGAGAAAUGCCAUUGAUACUGGGAGACUUGAGUACAGACGAGGUAGGCGGAAUUGACAGUGUAGCGGUGAAAUGCAUAGAUAUUGUCAAGAACACCGAUUGCGAAGGCAGCUUACUAGACUGUAACUGACGCUGAGGCACGAAAGUGUGGGGAUCAAACAGG